GGUCUCGGGGUCUCUUCCUGAUGGGUCUGGAGUUUACGGCCGCUGGGACUUUUGCUUAAAACUCUUAACAAACAGAGCGUAAGCUGCCUGGCUCAGGGCUCGCCCCCAGCUGGACGCUCUAGACUGGUCCUCGGGGACACAGAAGGACUGUCUGUUCGAAUCCGUAUCGAUCCGUGAUGCUGAUGAAAGAACCCACUGGUCACCUUGAGCCCUGCGUAUCCCGCGGCAACACUGCAGCCCCCCGUGUCACUUUAGUCAGACCAUGAGGCUCCGGGGCACAAGAGUGGCGGAAACAGGCUUCCAUAGUUUUGAGACUUCAAAAAGGAGGAAAAAAAGUAGCUUGUGACAAUAAUUCUUUGGAAUCUGAUCCAUUUAAUGAAUAACAAGAAUAUCAUUUUAGUUUAGGGACCAAUUCUCACUGUUAACUAGUUGUUUAUUAGCAUGCAUAUUACUAGCAUAUUGGCUGUUUAUUAGUACUUAUAAAGCAAAUAUUACAGGGGUGCUGUUAUGCUUUUUCACUUUUUGAAUUUUAGUCAGCGUGUGGUGUGUAUCUUUGGGCAUAAAAAAGAUCUACAAAGUUACAAAGCUUCAUUUGGACAACUUUAAAGGUGAUUUUCUCAAUAUUUAGAUUUUUUUGCACCCUUUAGAUUCCAUAUAUUCAAAUAGUCGUAUCUCGACCAAAUAUUGUCCUAUCCAAACAAAUCAUACAUCAAUGGAAAACUUGUUUAUUCAGCUUUCAGAUGAUACAUAAAGCUCAAUUUCGAAAAAUUGACCCUUAUGACUAGUUUUGUGGUCCUCGGUCACAUAUGGACAUAGUUUUCAUUUUCAGCUAAUCGCUAAAAUAUAGCAGGCAAAAUGACAGUAAUCACUAUUUUAUUUGGUAUUAUUAGCAAUGCAGAUUAAAUCUUUUAAAAAGGCAUUUGCAUGAGAAUCCAAUGCUGUUGCAUGAAACUUAUACUCUGGGUAUAAUGAUACAGGGUUUAAAAGAAAAAAAGAAAAGUUUGCAAACUUAUGAUAAAGUGCAAGUAAUACAAGUUACACUUUGCAUCCAUUUGUGCUGUUGAGAAACAAAAACAAAACGGAUGAAAACCUCAGAGAAGAUCAGAACAGCAUCAGAUCGGUUUUCCCAACGCCACAUCUCCAGACAGAUCCCUGAUCAUACGCACCGUGCCGAUCUACAGGGAAUAUAAUUACUUUUUUCCACCAGUGUGGAGUGAUUUCCCAGGUUUAAACAGAGGUGCGUGGACGAUUGAUCAGCGGUGAUGCCUCCCAUUUAAAGAUCACACGCAAGACAAAGGAAAGCUAAGUAGGACGGCGUUGGACGCUCCCAAAACACAAGGCGGGUUAAGGGAAAAAAAGAGUAUAAAUGAAAAGGAACAGCGGGAGAAGGCUUGGGAAUUAAGUAAAAUAUAAUUAAUGACAGCCGUCUGAAACUUAACUGUAUCAGAAAUGUGUUUUAAUCGUGUUGAAAAAGUACAUCAGGAGCGUCGUACGCCGGGUAGUCAUAUGGCUCUGGGCGAGUGAAGAAUUAACUACCAGCGCUUGAGUACAGCUGGAAUAUCUGCCUCCUCCCCGAACGUCAUCCCGACUCUGGGAGUUUGUUGUUUGCGGCCUUGUGGGAGCGCGGCGGAGAGGAAAAUACUUAAUGUGCUUCC